GUUGUUGGUGUAUUGAUGGAUGUUAAUGACCCACUGACUCUCCCCAUAUUUAUGACUAUGUUUGUAAGUUGCCCCAAGGUGUAUGACAUAAAUAAUAUUUUAAGUGAAAGUUUGGAGAGUUACUGGUGACGAGUCCAUCCUACGUGAAAUAGUUGUGAUGUAGAAUCCCAUGUGAAUGAUAUAUUGCAUAUGUGUGAAUGAAUGAUAUAGUUAAUGUUGGUUAGUUUACUCACUGAGCUUGUGUGAGCUUUCCCCAUUCCCCUAACUCUUAGAUGCAAGGUUGCAGAACUAGAUGAGUUUUUUG
rnacentral:misc_RNA from 1 species